GCUUUCCACCGCUCCUGCCAUCACCACGCUCCACGCACAGAAGGUAUUCUAGGAAUGUUUUGCCUGAGCUUACGUGAUGCCAGAUUUGGGUGCAGUGAGAGGGGUGAGCUCGAGGCUUCACAUAGGUUAAGCAUGAACUCUGUCUCGGAGCCCUGGUGUCAGUCCUGGGAUUUUAUUUUUAAUACUGAUUUUAGAGUUGGUACUAACCUUGAUGGCAGCACAGUCUCUGAUGUCAAAAUCCUGUUGAAACUCCGGCUCCAUCAUCACAGCAGACACCUGAGAAGCCCUAAGUCAGAAGAGGAAUACCAUCACACAGUUUGAGACUUAAUGACAGCCCCUGGCCCCAGACUCUGACAAAAUCGUCUACCCUGAGGAAGCAGAGGACAUGGCUGUCCUCACCUGGGAAGGAUGCAGCUCGGUUUCACAGGUCACUUCUACACGACUGAGGUGUGGCAUAGUGUUCUUUGCCUUUUCUCCCUGACCCACACUAUUGCAGCUGUUGGUUGGAUUAGUUUUCAGGAAGAGUACUGUCUUGGAGGAAAUCUAACUAUCGACAUCGUCAUAUUUACAUAUUUAUAGCCCUCAAAUGGUUCAUCCUUGAGUCACACACUUCUGGAAAACUGGGAGAUGUGAUGUCAGCUAUCAGUGACAUGAAUGUUAUGCUGUGCUUCCUAUGUAUCUGGCAUUAUAAGAACUCCUGAGGAGAUUCAGGCACGAACUGUCCCUAUUCUGAGACACAUAAGAAGCCAAACGUGUAAAGUAGGCCUUUUGGGGGCUUACAAAGGAGCUUCGUUAAGAAAGAAGGAGGGAGGCUCCCAGGACCCAGACAUAAGCAUAUCUCCAAUGGUGGAUGUUUACGCAGGAUGUUGGCAAAUGAAAGAGUCAGCAUCGUGAUCGGGAUGGGAGCAUGGGAGAACAGCCGCCCAGGACACUUGGACUGUCUUGCAGAUGCUUGCCAGCAGAGAGCCUUGGACUGAAGGAACAGCUUCAAUUUCUUCAAAACUGGUUAUUAUCCAAUGAAAGAAUGGCCAUUCGGGAGAGCGCAGUCAUCGGAUCUCAUUAACCUUCAUUGGGCUUUUGGAGUCCCUCAGAAAGACUCGCAGAUGUGUUUUAAAGGAUGCUUGAACUAGCAUAUAAUUCUAUCUAUGCCCUUCCUCAUCCUCCAGUGUUCAUAUGCCCAAGUGAGAGACUUGCCCAAGUGAGAGACUUGAGUUUGGAAGGUAUUACACAGCAGUACAGAAGACGUAAGAACCAUCCGGAUGCUCCUCUGUAGAAAAAACAUCUUUGUUUUGUUUCCCUAUGACACACAAGUGGCUUUCAAGGGAAGGAUUCUGCUAAAGAGGGUGGUGUGACCUUUUGUUUUAUAAGGAGCCUGCUCAUCACAUAUGUUUCAAAUAUGACUGCACCAAAAAGUCCCCAAGGCACAUGACCAAUCUCCCUUCCUUAUGACAGUACCGAGAGGACAAUCCCUGAGCCUGACGCAACGCUGCUGCUGGGACCUUCAGGGUUUUCUAAAACCUUUUAUUUCUGUGUGCAAAGUGCUUUCAGACACAUUUCUGUCCUUGUGUCUCACCACAAGCCUGUGAGAUCAGAGCUGUUGGUGAGAUUUCCACUUUUGAGAAGUAUAACUACUUUCACACAUCGGGUCCCAAUCAUCACGGACCACAGGGAUAAGGACAGCUUCUUGGAGUAGUCACUGACACACACCAACAACUUUACACCAGUAACUGCUUCUGCAGGUCUCCAGGUACCCAUGGCUCAAAGAUGGUUGUCACAGUUCUCUGUGUCACAUAGCCCACUGCAAACCAACAAGCAAACAAGAGGCAAGCUGGAUGCAGGCAGCUAACUAUGCUCUCUGUUAACAUAAGCGUUUUGUUCUCAAUUGUCCUUUGCUGGUGUUGGCCUGCCUGGACCCUGUGGAUGUCUUUAUUACUACAGGCAUCCUGACAAGAAUCCUCUCUCACUGUGUGGAUUUAGGCUGACAACAUCUUUAAACCAACAACUGAAGAUGCCACUGUAACAGACUUGUGAGGUCAGGUGCUUACGUGGAAAACGAAUCACGUUAGUAAUUGGGGUUUGGCAGGCUCCAAAGAGCCACCAAGCGCACAAAGCUUCUGUCCAUUCUCUACAGGAGUCAAUAAACAUCUGUCAUUUUAAGAUGCCAGCUGAGCCAAGAUAUCUUAGGAUAUAACUGUAUAUAUUGGAUCUAAUUAAAAGCAAUUCAUUCAUAAA